AGUGAACGCUGGCGGUAGGCCUAACACAUGCAAGUCGAACGGCAGCACAGUAAGAGCUUGCUCUUACGGGUGGCGAGUGGCGGACGGGUGAGGAAUACAUCGGAAUCUACUUUUUCGUGGGGGAUAACGUCGGGAAACUUACGCUAAUACCGCAUACGACCUACGGGUGAAAGCAGGGGAUCUUCGGACCUUGCGCGAUUGAAUGAGCCGAUGUCGGAUUAGCUAGUUGGCGGGGUAAAGGCCCACCAAGGCGACGAUCCGUAGCUGGUCUGAGAGGAUGACCAGCCACACUGGAACUGAGACACGGUCCAGACUCCUACGGGAGGCAGCAGUGGGGAAUUUUGGACAAUGGGCGCAAGCCUGAUCCAGCCAUACCGUGUGGGUGAAGAAGGCCUUCGGGUUGUAAAGCCCUUUUGUUGGGAAAGAAAAGCAGCAGGUUAAUACCCCGCUGUUCUGACGGUACCCAAAGAAUAAGCACCGGCUAACUUCGUG
rnacentral:rRNA from 1 species